UUUUAAUUUCGGGCUAGCGUCGUUAACAGUGUACUAAAUUUCAAGAAAGAGGCGCAUGUCUGUGGGGGCGCUAAAAACUCACUAGGGAGCAAAAGGGGGCGCCAGCCUGAAAAAGUUUGAGAACCACUGAGGUGUUGGUCGGUCGGCGUCAACGUUCUUCAAACUCCAAUGAAAUCACUGAGCUUCACAGUCUUUACUCCAACCCCACAGCCCACAAGACGUGUUCAAUUAACCUAAUAGGAAGAGGAACGGUUGCUAUCACUUCUAAAUCUCAAUUCUCAACCCUUUUAGCACAGCCUCUUCCAAAGUUCUAACAACCUUCCAACACGGCAACACCUCAUGUGUUGGUCGGAGCCAUCAUCCUUCAACCCUCAAUAAACUCUCUG